rnacentral:tRNA from 1 species
GGUCUUAUAUUUUAAUAAAAAUAUUAGAUUGCAAAUCUAAAGCUGAUAAUUUUCUAAGACUU